rnacentral:tRNA from 1 species
GGUGAGGUGGCAGAGCGGCCCAACGCGCCUGCCUUGAAAGCAGGUGGCGCAAGCCUCAUGGGUUCAAAUCCCAUCCUCACCG